GUCCACGCCCUAAACGAUGAUGACUAGUUGUUGGGGAGUUAAAUCCCUUAGUAACGCAGCUAACGCGUGAAGUCAUCCGCCUGGGGAGUACGGUCGCAAGAUUAAAACUCAAAGGAAUUGACGGGGGCCCGCACAAGCGGUGGAUGAUGUGGUUUAAUUCGAUGCAACGCGAAAAACCUUACCUACCCUUGACAUGCCAGGAACGCUGCAGAAAUGCAGCGGUGCCCGAAAGGGAACCUGGACACAGGUGCUGCAUGGCUGUCGU
rnacentral:rRNA from 1 species